CCCUUAGAUGUCCUGGGCUGCACGCGCGCUACACUGACGAACGCAACGAGUUUAUCACCUUGGCAGAGAUGUCUGGGUAAUCUUUGAAAGUUCGUCGUGAUGGGGAUAGAUGAUUGUAAUUAUUCGUCUCGAACGAGGAAUUCCUAGUAAGUGUGAGUCAUCAGCUCGCGCUGAUUACGUCCCUGCCCUUUGUACACACCGCCCGUCGCUCCUACCGAUUGAAUGGUCCGGUGAGAACGUCGGAUCACGCGCUCGAUGCUGGGGGCAACCUCAGCGACUUGUGCGAGAGAAGUUGUUCAAACCUUACCAUUUAGAGGAAGGAGAAGUCGUAACA
rnacentral:rRNA from 1 species